UAGCUGAUGGGAAGCAGGUGAAGAUUCCUGCACCGUCGUAAGAAUGCGAUGGGGGGACGGAUCGCGGAAGGUUGUCCGGGGGUUGGAAGUCCCGGUCCCUGCAUUGGAGAAGGCGCUUAGGCAAAUCCGGGCGCGCAAUUCAAGGGUGCGAGGCGAGCGAACUUCGGUUUGCGAAGCAAUCGGAAGGGGUUCCAAGAAAAGCCUCUAAGCGAAAGUCUUACGAGACCGUACCGCAAACCGACACAGGUGGGCAGGGUGAGAAUCCUAAGGCGCUUGAGAGAACUCGGGUGAAGGAACUCGGCAAAUUAGCACCGUAACUUCGGGAUAAGGUGCGCCCUGGUAGGUUGUAGCGCCUCGCGCGUGAAGGCCGAAGGGGUUGCAGAUAAAUGGUGGCUGCGACUGUUUAAUAAAAACACAGCACUCUGCAAAGAUGAUGAAUCGACGUAUAGGGUGUGACGCCUGCCCGGUGCCGGAAGGUUAAAUGAUGGGGUGCAAGCUCUUGAUUGAAGCCCCGGUAAACGGCGGCCGUAACAAUAACGGUCCUAAGGUAGCGAAAUUCCUUGUCGGGUAAGUUCCGACCUGCACGAAUGGCGUAACGAUGGCCACACUGUCUCCUCCCGAGACUCAGUGAAGUUGAAAUGGUUGUGAUGAUGCAAUCUACCCGCGGCUAGACGGAAAGACCCCAUGAACCUUUACUGUAGCUUUGCAUUGGACUGUGAACCGGUUUGUGUAGGAUAGGUGGGAGGCGAAGAAGUCGGAACGCUAGUUUCGAUGGAGCCGUCGUUGAAAUACCACCCUGAUCUGUUUGCGGUUCUAACCUAGUCCCGUGGACCGGGUCGGGAACCGUGCAUGGUAGGCAGUUUGACUGGGGCGGUCUCCUCCUAAAGGGUAACGGAGGAGCGCGAAGGUACGCUAGGUACGGUCGGAAAUCGUAUCGAUAGUGCAAUGGCAAAAGCGUGCUUGACUGCGAGACGGACAUGUCGAGCAGGUGCGAAAGCAGGUCAUAGUGAUCUGGUGGUUCUGUAUGGAAGGGCCAUCACUCAACGGAUAAAAGGUACUCUGGGGAUAACAGGCUCAUACCGCCCAAGAGUUCAUAUCGACGGCGGUGUUUGGCACCUCGAUGUCGGCUCAUCUCAUCCUGGGGCUGUAGCCGGUCCCAAGGGUAUG
rnacentral:rRNA from 1 species